AGUUAGAUCCCUUCCAGUGUCUCAGUCAUAAUUUUGCAAAGGCGGCUUCACGUUGUCCAGGAAACAGGGGUAAGAAGUAGUCUGGGCCAGGUGCAGCAGCUUAUGCCUGUAAUCCUAGCACUUAGGGAGGCUGAGGUGGGAGGAUCACUUGAGGUCAGGAGUUCGAGACCAGCCUGGCCAACAUGGUGAACCCCUGUCCCCACUAAAAACACAAAAAUUAGCCGGGUGUGGACAUGAUUCUCUCUCUCCCUUUCUCUGAAAAUUGAUAAGGAAGCAUGUACUAACUAUCUUUUUGUUAGCAGCCAUCUUGCCCCAUGAGAGAAAGGCAGUAUUAAAAUGAGACUGGCACCAAAAGCAGAACAAAGACCAAGCUGCCAAGUCAAACUAACACUGAGCCCACCCCACCUCUGCACUUCCAGCUAUGUGAACAGUGUAUGAGUUAGGAUCAGGUUCAGUUGCAAGUAACCAGAAACCCCAAACAAGAGUGGCUUCAACAAGUUUAA
rnacentral:lncRNA from 10 species